GACGAACGCUGGCGGCGUGCUUAACACAUGCAAGUCGAACGGAAAGGCCCUGCUUUUGUGGGGUGCUCGAGUGGCGAACGGGUGAGUAACACGUGAGUAACCUGCCCUUGACUUUGGGAUAACUUCAGGAAACUGGGGCUAAUACCGGAUAGGAGCUCCUGCUGCAUGGUGGGGGUUGGAAAGUUUCGGCGGUUGGGGAUGGACUCGCGGCUUAUCAGCUUGUUGGUGGGGUAGUGGCUUACCAAGGCUUUGACGGGUAGCCGGCCUGAGAGGGUGACCGGCCACAUGGGGACUGAGAUACGGCCCAGAGUCCUACGGGAGGCAGCAGUGGGGAAUAUUGCACAAUGGGCGGAAGCCUGAUGCAGCAACGCCGCGUGCGGGAUGACGGCCUUCGGGUUGUAAACCGCUUUCGCCUGUGACGAAGCGUGAGUGACGGUAAUGGGUAAAGAAGCACCGGCUAACUACGU
rnacentral:rRNA from 1 species